rnacentral:rRNA from 1 species
AUUCCAGCUCCAAUAGCGUAUAUUAAAGUUGUUGCGGUUAAAAAGCUCGUAGUUGAAUUUCUGGUCUUGGACGGCGGUCUGCCUCAAACGAGGUACGCACCAUCUGUCCGGGUCCAUCCUCGGGGAAAACAUAUCUGUGAUCCAGUUCAUGGGUAUGGGAUCCUCGUCAUUUACUGUGAGCAAAAUAGGGUGUUCAAAGCAGGCUUAUGCCGUUGAAUACAUUAGCAUGGAAUAAUAAGAUAAGACCUUGGUCUAUUUUGUUGGUUUGCAUUCCAAGGUAAUGAUUAAUAGGGACAGUUGGGGGUAUUCGUAUUCAAUUGUCAGAGGUGUAAUUCUUGGAUUUAUGGAAGACGAACUACUGCGAAAGCAUUUACCAAGGAUGUUUUCAUCA